rnacentral:rRNA from 1 species
CAGCCGCCGCGGGAAAACGGAGGGUGCAAGCGUUAAUCGGAAUUACUGGGCGUAAAGCGCACGCAGGCGGUCUGACAAGUCAGAUGUGAAAUCCCCGGGCUUAACCUGGGAACUGCAUUUGAAACUGUCAGGCUGGAGUCUUGUAGAGGGGGGUGGAAUUCCAGGUGUAGCGGUGAAAUGCGUAGAGAUCUGGAGGAAUACCGGUGGCGAAGGCGGCCCCCUGGACAAAGACUGACGCUCAGGUGCGAAAGCGUGGGGAGCAAACAGGAUUAGAUACCCGUGUAGUCCCUGUCUCUUAUAC